rnacentral:rRNA from 1 species
AAAUGACUCUCGGCAACGGAUAUCUCGGCUCUCGCAUCGAUGAAGAACGUAGCGAAAUGCGAUACUUGGUGUGAAUUGCAGAAUCCCGUGAACCAUCGAGUCUUUGAACGCAAGUUGCGCCCGAAGCCAUCCGGUUGAGGGCACGUCUGCCUGGGCGUCAAUC